rnacentral:rRNA from 1 species
UAGGGAAUCUUCCACAAUGGACGAAAGUCUGAUGGAGCAACGCCGCGUGAGUGAUGAAGGGUUUCGGCUCGUAAAACUCUGUUGUUGGAGAAGAACGGGUGUCAGAGUAACUGUUGACAUCGUGACGGUAUCCAACCAGAAAGCCACGGCUAACUACGUGCCAGCAGCCGCGGUAAUACGUAGGUGGCAAGCGUUGUCCGGAUUUAUUGGGCGUAAAGCGAGCGCAGGCGGUUUUUUAGGUCUGAUGUGAAAGCCUUCGGCUUAACCGGAGAAGUGCAUCGGAAACCGGGAGACUUGAGUGCAGAAGAGGACAGUGGAACUCCAUGUGUAGCGGUGAAAUGCGUAGAUAUAUGGAAGAACACCAGUGGCGAAGGCGGCUGUCUGGUCUGCAACUGACGCUGAGGCUCGAAAGCAUGGGUAGCGAACAGGAUUAGAUACCCUGGUAGUCCAUGCCGUAAACGAUGAGUGCUAAGUGUUGGAGGGUUUUCCGCCCUUCAGUGCUGCAGCUAACGCAUUAAGCACUCCGCCUGGGGGAGUACGACCGCAAGGUUG